GUGGGGGUGUUGCACUGUAUAUUCAGAAUCAUAUACAUUUUAAGAGGAGGGAUGACCUUAAUGUAGGUCAAAUAGAGGCACUAUGGGCUCAAGUACAUCUGCCUCACCAGGCAGCCAUAUUGGUAGGAUGUGUGUAUAGACCUCCUAGCUCUACGGUGUCCUAUCUGGAUGACUUAUGGGUUUGACCAGGCCACAGAUAGCAACAGAAAUGUAUUUAUCUUGGGUGAUUUUAAUAUAAAUUGGAAGGAUCACAAUCAUUUGAAUAGAACUUUAUCUUCAAUUAAGUUGGGUCAUUGUUCAGACACAUGCAUUGAUCUGAUUUUCUGUCAUAUACCAUUGCAAUGCUUAAAAGCCAGAUCAAUGCCAGUGGGCUGGACAGACCAUAAUAUUGUGACCAUAACCAUGAACACCAAGGUUCCAAAGAAACCCCAAAGGAUUGUGGUUAAGAGAAAUGUUAAAACAUUUAAUCAUUAGCUAUUUCUAAAUGAUUUGGCUGCUGUACCCUGGGAGCUGAUUCAUCUAGAGGAUGAUUUAAAUCACGCUACAGAAUGUUUUAUUGAUUUGCUCACUGAGGUAAUGGACCAUCAUGCCCCUAUAAGAAACAGUACAGUUGGUGCUCGUCCAUCUCCAUGGAUUGAUGAUCAACUGGGUGAGGCUUUUUCUCAAAGAAAUAUGAAAAAAGUCUUAGCAGCAAAGUCAAAAUUAGAAAUUGAUUAACAGAAUUAUAGAACACUACGUAAUUAUGCAGUUAAAUUGAAUGGAAAGAAAACAUUUUUAUUUUACAACAAUGCUUUUAUUGAUUGUAAAAAUGAUUGUAAAAAGGUAUGGAACACAGUUAAGGGCUUACUUGGUACAUCUAUCUCAUCAUGCCCAUCUAGUGUGGAGGUUGAUAGGAGAAUAAUAACAAAACCAGUUGAUGUUGACAAUCAUUUUGCAGAUUUUUUUACACAGAAAAUGAAAUUUCUGAGCAUCAAUGUAGACGUACAUUCUUCCAAACAAGCUAUUGUCCAAUGGAUUGAUGAUCAUAUUAUGAGCAAUAAGAUCUGCUCUUUUAGUCUACAAACGGUGGCAGUGGAGGAGGUGUUUGCUUCGCUGUGCUGCUGUUGUUUGCAAAAGUAUGGAAGCAUGUUAAACUGUGUCCUAUUCCGAAAGACAGCAAAAAAAAACAUUACUCCUGCCAAUAGUCUACCAAUUAGUCUACUUCCUACACUCAGUAAGAUAUUGGAGGGUAUUGUGAGUAGACAAAUGUGGGAGUACAUGGAAAAGAAUGAUCUGAUUACAGCCAAUCCGCAUGCUUUUCGCAAAAACCAUUCCACUACCACUGCAUUGGUUGACAUGACUGACCAGUGGCUCAAUGCUAUGGAUAAUGACACAUUUGUAGGUGUACUAUUUUUAGAUUUCAGUGCAGCAUUUGAUUUAGUGGAUCUUGAAAUAAUUUUGACAAAAUGAAUGCAGUAUGGUUUUAAGGGGGUAGCAUUGCAUUGGGUACAGUCAUAUCUAACUGACAGGAAACAGUCCACCUAUAUCAAUGGUUCAUUUUCUUCCCCUAAUGUGUUAAACUGUGGAAUACCGCAUGGUAGCUGCCUUGGGCCACUUCUUUAUUUAAUAUAUACCAACGACCUUCCAUAUGCCUUGGUUGAAACUCAAUCUACUAUAUUUGCAGAUGAUACUACAAUUUAUGCAGCAAGACAAUCGGUUCAACAGGUACAGCAGGCUUUACAAGGAGAUUUGGAGAAUAUCAGGAAGUGGGUUUGCCAAAACAAACUUGUUUUAAGCACCAAGAAAAUCAAAGUUAUGUUGAUCUGUUCAACUAGGAAAAGGCAAAAACAGCAUGGGAUACAAUUAAGUAUGGGAGGAGUACAAAUUGAAGAAGUGGCAGAAACCAAACUAUUGGGAGUGCAGCUAGACAACUGCUUAUCAUGGUCGUCUCAAAUAACUAAUCUAUGUAAAAUAAUUAUUAAAACAGCAUGCAUAAUCAGAAGGAUAGCUAAAUAUUUACCAGGAACAAUUCUUCAGCAAAUAACACAAGCAUUAAUUGAGAGUCAGGUGAACUACAGUUCGGUGGUCUGGAGAAAUGCAUCAUCAAAUGAAUACGUAGAAUGUAUGCACACAUGACUGUAAGUCGCUUUGGAUAAAAGCGUCUGAUAAAUGGCAUAUAUUAUUAUUAUAAGUUAGGAGGCUGCAGAAUGCACAGAAUAAAGCAGCAAGGAUUGUUUUAAGGCGGAGAUAUGGUCCUUCUGUUGCAGUCAUGGGUUGUUUUAAGGUGGAGAUAUGGUUCUUCUGUUGCAGUCAUGGGUUGUUUUAAGGUGGAGAUAUGGUUCUUCUGUUGCAGUCAUGGGUUGUUUUAAGGUGGAGAUAUGGUUCUUCUGUUGCAGUCAUGGGUUGUUUUAAGGUGGAGAUAUGGCUCUUCUGUUGCAGUCAUGGGUUGUUUUAAGGUGGAGAUAUGGUUCUUCUGUUGCAGUCAUGGGUUGUUUUAAGGUGGAGAUAUGGUUCUUCUGUUGCAGUCAUGGGUUGUUUUAAGGUGGAGAUAUGGUUCUUCUGUUGCAGUCAUGGGUUGUUUUAAGGUGGAGAUAUGGUUCUUCUGUUGCAGUCAUGGGUUGUUUUAAGGUGGAGAUAUGGCUCUUCUGUUGCAGUCAUGGGUUGUUUUAAGGUGGAGAUAUGGUUCUUCUGUUGCAGUCAUGGGUUGUUUUAAGGUGGAGGUAUGGUUCUUCUGUUGCAGUCAUGGAUUGUUUUAAGGCGGAGAUAUGGUUCUUCUGUUGCAGUCAUGGGUUGUUUUAAGGUGGAGAUAUGGCUCUUCUGUUGCAGUCAUGGGUUGUUUUAAGGUGGAGAUAUGGUUCUUCUGUUGCAGUCAUGGGUUGUUUUAAGGUGGAGAUAUGGUUCUUCUGUUGCAGUCAUGGGUUGUUUUAAGGUGGAGAUAUGGUUCUUCUGUUGCAGUCAUGGGUUGUUUUAAGGUGGAGAUAUGGUUCUUCUGUUGCAGUCAUGGGUUGUUUUAAGGUGGAGAUAUGGCUCUUCUGUUGCAGUCAUGGGUUGUUUUAAGGUGGAGAUAUGGUUCUUCUGUUGCAGUCAUGGGUUGUUUUAAGGUGGAGAUAUGGUUCUUCUGUUGCAGUCAUGGGUUGUUUUAAGGUGGAGAUAUGGCUCUUCUGUUGCAGUCAUGGGUUGUUUUAAGGUGGAGAUAUGGUUCUUCUGUUGCAGUCAUGGGUUGUUUUAAGGUGGAGAUAUGGUUCUUCUGUUGCAGUCAUGGGUUGUUUUAAGGUGGAGAUAUGGUUCUUCUGUUGCAGUCAUGGGUUGUUUUAAGGUGGAGAUAUGGUUCUUCUGUUGCAGUCAUGGGUUGUUUUAAGGUGGAGAUAUGGUUCUUCUGUUGCAGUCAUGGGUUGUUUUAAGGUGGAGAUAUGGCUCUUCUGUUGCAGUCAUGGGUUGUUUUAAGGUGGAGAUAUGGUUCUUCUGUUGCAGUCAUGGGUUGUUUUAAGGUGGAGAUAUGGUUCUUCUGUUGCAGUCAUGGGUUGUUUUAAGGUGGAGAUAUGGCUCUUCUGUUGCAGUCAUGGGUUGUUUUAAGGUGGAGAUAUGGUUCUUCUGUUGCAGUCAUGGGUUGUUUUAAGGUGGAGAUAUGGUUCUUCUGUUGCAGUCAUGGGUUGUUUUAAGGUGGAGAUAUGGUUCUUCUGUUGCAGUCAUGGGUUGUUUUAAGGUGGAGAUAUGGUUCUUCUGUUGCAGUCAUGUGAAGUGUUCUUGGUUGGUCAUCAAUCGACAAGGUAAUUGAAAAAAACAUGCUUAUUUUAUUUUAUAAUAUACAUAAUUUAAAACGGCCAAGUUCUAUUCACAACGGUAUUCAGUUGGUAAGAGACAGACAUUCCGUAAAUACUAGGAAUAGAUUGUCCACCAUCUAUGCGUGAUCCAGACAGAAAAGAGAAAUAGGCAAAUUAACAUUUCGAUUUAGAGCAAUACAGAAAUGGAAUAAAUUAACUGAGCAAACUAGAAACCUUUCAAAAUAUAAAUUUAAACAUUAUUUUAAAAUAAUUUAAAUAUAGUAUAUAGAAAUGUUGUGGGACUAUAGUAGAUGAAGAAUCAAUAUUUUUAGAUUGAAUGUUUAUUAGGUCAUUAUGCUAGUAUAUUAUGUAUGUUUGUAAUAGUGUGUUAUAUGUGAAAGUGUGUUUGUAUUAUAAAUUGUAUUUUAAUGUUUAAGGACUCUUGGAAGAUUAGUCCACAUGGGGACUAAAAGAGAUCCAAAUAAAAUCAUUAGUUUUUCAACAGGACAAUGACCCAAAACACACCUGCAGGCUGUGUAAGGGCUAUCUGACCAAGAAGGAGAGUGAUGGUGCUGCAUCAGAUGAGCUGGCCUCCACAAUCACCUAACGUCAACCCAACUGAGAUGGUUAGGGAUGAGUUGGACCGCAGAGUGAAGGAAAAGAAGCCAACAAGUGCUCAGCAUAUGUGGGAACUCGUUCAAGACUGUUGGAAAAGCAUUCCUUCUAAAGCUGGUUGAGAGAAUGCCAAGAGUGUGCAAAGCUGUCACCAAGGCAAAGGGUGGCUACUUUGAAGAAUCUAAAAUAUGAAAUAUAUGUUGAUUUGUUUAACGCUUUCUUGGUUACUGCAUGAUUCAACAUGUGUUAUUUAUUUCAUAGUUUUGAUGUCUUUACUAUUAUUAUACAAUGUAAAAAUAAAG